UUUGUUUUAGAGAUACUUCAGUUGCAAACUGAAGGGACCUUUUUAGGCUAAAAUUUAAUUUAGAUUAUUGAAGUAUUUGAAAUACUUUAGUUUGUUUUAACUUAAAAUUUUAAAAAAAAACACAAACCCUAAACAAUUCAUUAAUACUCAUGU
rnacentral:tRNA from 1 species